AAUGGGUCAGCGACUUAUAUUCUGUAGCAAGGUUAACCGAAUAGGGGAGCCGAAGGGAAACCGAGUCUUAACUGGGCGUUAAGUUGCAGGGUAUAGACCCGAAACCCGGUGAUCUAGCCAUGGGCAGGUUGAAGGUUGGGUAACACUAACUGGAGGACCGAACCGACUAAUGUUGAAAAAUUAGCGGAUGACUUGUGGCUGGGGGUGAAAGGCCAAUCAAACCGGGAGAUAGCUGGUUCUCCCCGAAAGCUAUUUAGGUAGCGCCUCGUGAAUUCAUCUCCGGGGGUAGAGCACUGUUUCGGCAAGGGGGUCAUCCCGACUUACCAACCCGAUGCAAACUGCGAAUACCGGAGAAUGUUAUCACGGGAGACACACGGCGGGUGCUAACGUCCGUCGUGAAGAGGGAAACAACCCAGACCGCCAGCUAAGGUCCCAAAGUCAUGGUUAAGUGGGAAACGAUGUGGGAAGGCCCAGACAGCCAGGAUGUUGGCUUAGAAGCAGCCAUCAUUUAAAGAAAGCGUAAUAGCUCACUGGUCGAGUCGGCCUGCGCGGAAGAUGUAACGGGGCUAAACCAUGCACCGAAGCUGCGGCAGCGACACUAUGUGUUGUUGGGUAGGGGAGCGUUCUGUAAGCCUGUGAAGGUGGCCUGUGAGGGUUGCUGGAGGUAUCAGAAGUGCGAAUGCUGACAUAAGUAACGAUAAAGCGGGUGAAAAGCCCGCUCGCCGGAAGACCAAGGGUUCCUGUCCAACGUUAAUCGGGGCAGGGUGAGUCGACCCCUAAGGCGAGGCCGAAAGGCGUAGUCGAUGGGAAACAGGUUAAUAUUCCUGUACUUGGUGUUACUGCGAAGGGGGGACGGAGAAGGCUAUGUUGGCCGGGCGACGGUUGUCCCGGUUUAAGCGUGUAGGCUGGUUUUCCAGGCAAAUCCGGAAAAUCAAGGCUGAGGCGUGAUGACGAGGCACUACGGUGCUGAAGCAACAAAUGCCCUGCUUCCAGGAAAAGCCUCUAAGCAUCAGGUAACAUCAAAUCGUACCCCAAACCGACACAGGUGGUCAGGUAGAGAAUACCAAGGCGCUUGAGAGAACUCGGGUGAAGGAACUAGGCAAAAUGGUGCCGUAACUUCGGGAGAAGGCACGCUGAUAUGUAGGUGAAGCGACUUGCUCGUGGAGCUGAAAUCAGUCGAAGAUACCAGCUGGCUGCAACUGUUUAUUAAAAACACAGCACUGUGCAAACACGAAAGUGGACGUAUACGGUGUGACGCCUGCCCGGUGCCGGAAGGUUAAUUGAUGGGGUUAGCGCAAGCGAAGCUCUUGAUCGAAGCCCCGGUAAACGGCGGCCGUAACUAUAACGGUCCUAAGGUAGCGAAAUUCCUUGUCGGGUAAGUUCCGACCUGCACGAAUGGCGUAAUGAUGGCCAGGCUGUCUCCACCCGAGACUCAGUGAAAUUGAACUCGCUGUGAAGAUGCAGUGUACCCGCGGCAAGACGGAAAGACCCCGUGAACCUUUACUAUAGCUUGACACUGAACAUUGAGCCUUGAUGUGUAGGAUAGGUGGGAGGCUUUGAAGUGUGGACGCCAGUCUGCAUGGAGCCGACCUUGAAAUACCACCCUUUAAUGUUUGAUGUUCUAACGUUGGCCCGUUAUCCGGGUUGCGGACAGUGUCUGGUGGGUAGUUUGACUGGGGCGGUCUCCUCCUAAAGAGUAACGGAGGAGCACGAAGGUUGGCUAAUCCUGGUCGGACAUCAGGAGGUUAGUGCAAUGGCAUAAGCCAGCUUGACUGCGAGCGUGACGGCGCGAGCAGGUGCGAAAGCAGGUCAUAGUGAUCCGGUGGUUCUGAAUGGAAGGGCCAUCGCUCAACGGAUAAAAGGUACUCCGGGGAUAACAGGCUGAUACCGCCCAAGAGUUCAUAUCGACGGCGGUGUUUGGCACCUCGAUGUCGGCUCAUCACAUCCUGGGGCUGAAGUAGGUCCCAAGGGUAUGGCUGUUCGCCAUUUAAAGUGGUACGCGAGCUGGGUUUAGAACGUCGUGAGACAGUUCGGUCCCUAUCUGCCGUGGGCGCUGGAGAACUGAGGGGGGCUGCUCCUAGUACGAGAGGACCGGAGUGGACGCAUCACUGGUGUUCGGGUUGUCAUGCCAAUGGCACUGCCCGGUAGCUAAAUGCGGAAGAGAUAAGUGCUGAAAGCAUCUAAGCACGAAACUUGCCCCGAGAUGAGUUCUCCCUGACUCCCUGAGAGUCCUGAAGGAACGUUGAAGACGACGACGUUGAUAGGCCGGGUGUGUAAGCGCAGCGAUGCGUUGAGCUAACCGGUACUAAUGAACCGUGAGG
rnacentral:rRNA from 1 species